GCAAAGCUUUUCAUAAAAAAAUUUAGUAAUAAUAAUAGGAAAUUAUCAAUACGCUCACGAAUAUGCGUGUGUAUGUAUAUUUAUUGCUUUAAUAUUUGAGUUAGUUUUAACCUCGAUGCAUAUAGAUAUGCAUUUUCAUUGAGGAUGCUGGACCUUGGUGGGCACAAUAGACUAAAAAGCACUUACCCAUCAUCCUGAUCCUCUUUGUGGCUUAAAUCAUUAUUUAAUGCUAUUGCAGCUGCAUCUGCCGCGGGCGAUAUGCGACCACGAUCGACUUUCAUCACAGGUUUCGAGAUAAAGCUGUUAUUAAAUAUAUGUUGAUGUGCGCUAUGAAAUACAAGAACAAAUCGGACAAAACUUAAAAGCUUCGCUUUGACCAACCUUUGCUGUGUUGACAUAAAUAGUGGAUGAUGCUUUUCAUUAAAUCUAGGUGUAACAUGCUGAAAACCGAGAACCAAAUUAAAAUAUAGAGAUCAAAUUAAAUCAUAUUAAAUGAAAAUAUAAGUAUUAACAUGUCAUUGCCAAAAACUGCUGAUAUUGAAAAAUGGUAGAAAUUAGGUAUAAGUUUAUAAAAUUUUGG